rnacentral:rRNA from 1 species
AUUGAACGCUGGCGGCAGGCCUAACACAUGCAAGUCGAGCGAGCGGCGGACGGGUGAGUGAUGUCUGGGAAACUGCCCGAUGGAGGGGGAUAAAUACUGGAGAAGGUAGCAAAUACCGCAUAACCUCAGAUGUGCCCAGAGUGGGUUGGAUAGUAGGUGGGGUAACGGCUCACCUAGGCGACGCUCCCUAGCUGGUCUGCGCGGAGGACCAGCCACCCGGGAACUGAGCCACGGUCCAGACUCCUACGGGAGGCCGCAGUGGGGAUUAUUGCACAAUGGGCGCAAGCCUGAUGCAGCCAUGCCGCGUGUGUGAAGAGGGCCUUCGGGUUGUAAAGCACUUUCAGCGGGGAGGCGUUACCCGCAGAAGAAGCACCGGCUAACUCCGUGCCAGCAGCCGCGGUAAUAC